GAAGUAAACGGGUAAAGCCGCGAGGUAGUCGUAAAAAUCAGCCUUUCGACUAUCCCGGCCCUCGCCGUCCUGAUGUAAGACGCAGGCGGUAGGGCGCGUAUAACGGGAUAGCGAGCGGUGCACUUUUUGCGACGAAGCAUUGCGACUGAAGCGAAUUUCGGAAUGAAGCGGGAAUGUGAAGACAGAGCCGACGGUUCUGCGUCUAAGUUUCCGCGGAUACCGAUAAGACGUUUCGGUGACUCGAGUAGUCGCCCCGAAGGGCUCGCUGGCUCACGGAGACCGGACGGUCGAAAUGCUUGUUCUUGCUCGCAGGAACCGGCGACCCCUGAUCGGAUUUCGAGGGCUUUGGCGAGAGACUACGAAGGAUCGGCGAUGUCUGCGGCGGCCGCUUACCCGACCCGUCUUGAAACACGGACCAAGGAGUCUAACAUGUGCGCGAGUUAUUGGGUGGCGAAAACCCAAAGGCGAAAUUAAAGUAAAGACCGGCGCACGCCGUGUCUAGAUACGAUCCUCGGCUUCGGCCGGGGCGGAGUAUCGUCCCGUCCAAGUGGUACGUCCACUGGGCGGCGAAAGAGCGUAAAUGUUGGGACCCGAAAGAUGGUGAACUAUGCUCGAGCAGAACGAAGCCAGAGGAAACUCUGGUGGAGGUUCGUAGCGGUUCUGACGUGCAAAUCGAUCGUCAG
rnacentral:rRNA from 1 species